GCUGCCCUGGCCCGGCCGCGCGGGCCGCUCAGUGCGGGGCACCGCAGUGAAAACGCUCCGUAACGUUUCGCGGUUGGGGUAACUGAGUAAACCGAGAGUCCCGGGCUCGUCCGUGAAGCCUCAACUGUCGAAACCAACGGGACGCUUCUCAAAACGAUUUGGUGGCGCUUUAGGGAACGCGCUCUGGAGGCAGAACGCCUCCGCGCCCGACUCGAGGCGGAGCGGGGCCGUGGGCACGCCUCUGAGGAACUCCUUGGGAUUCAGAUUUAAAAGGAUGACGGAGUUCUUGCCCGUUUUCCUCCAUCGAAUAGGAAGCAAACCCGAGGUCCCGGACUCUUCUCCAGAUCCUAAAGCGAACUCACGCCUUCUGCUCAUCCCAUUAACCGGAUUGACGACGUUAACACCUAUUGAUGACUCUUUGAUGGAGUCACUAUGACGUCAUACUCCAUGUAGUCGGUAUGACGUCAUAGACAAAUUCUCAAUGUAGUCACUGGCGUUAUAGACAAAGUCUUAAUGUCGGUAUGGCGUCAUAGACAGUCUCAAUGGCGUCGGUAUGACGUUAUAGACAAAUUCUCUUUUUUUUUAUUCUGUUACUAACUGUAUGAAGAUAAGCGAUGGAAAGGAUGUCCCGAGGGGUCCCUCCCACCUCUGAACUGCUCUUAUUUUUCCUUGGUGACUCCUCUAUAAAAUGGUCUUGCUACACAUAUCUGACAUAAAAGUAUUAAAGAACUCACUGAAUUAGUACUCUCAUCAAGUUGGACUAUAACUCCAUGGUAAUCAUUGAUUCUUCUCAAUGUUCUAUGGUAAUUGAGUUGAUACUGUGUUAUUGCCAGGAAGCAUAAUUUUGAAUUUAUCAGCUGCUUUGCCACCAAAAACAUAUGCACCAACAUAUUGGAGGAAGUGGUUUCUUAGCACUUAGUAUGAACCAUUUCUCUCCUGCCACAACUAAACACAAAGAUUGUCUUUCUCAUAUUUGUGAAGCAACUGAGAAACUGCAUCAAUAACUUUAUGCCUGUUUCCUUAACAUAUUUUAGGGACUUAUAUGCUAUAUUUUCAAAUGUCCUUUAAUUUUGAAGGUAUUAAUCUUUCUCUUGUUGGAACUGCAUUCUCUUUUUCUUUAAAAUGUAAAAUCUGUUUUCUGAUUAUUAGAGUAACAUUUUUUUCCUCAGUGUUUCCACUGCACUUCCAAAUCUAGCAAGUAAACCUGAACACAGAUCCUGUAUUUUUCACUUUAUUAUUUCUUUUUCUUCUAAUAAUAAAGCAACUUCUUUGA